UUAGCCUUUCUCACUGUUGAAGAAAUUUAUUUCUGUGUCUUUCUCUCUCACUUUACAUCUUUUUAUUUUUCUCUAUUACUAAUUCUUAUAUUUGAUCUUUUAAUCAGGACAAUAAAGACUUCCUCUGCAAAAAGUUGUUGCAUGCUAUCUCUCCUAAAUUAGUCAAGACUUCUGGAUGGUUCUUGCUGAAGACCAAAGAUGCUAUGAUCAAAUUGGCAGUUCUAUUGUCGUUCUUUGAAAAUAGUGUUGAUCAAGGAACUGUCUGUCUAAGUUAUGCUGCAGCUUAGACAGUGUGGAGUAUGAAUUUCUGGUUCAUCUAUGGAUGCCUUUCUAGAAUUUAUGUAGCAGUAUAUAGUUUGAUGCCCAGACGCCACUUAUGGGAUUACACUGGGUUUGUUGUUUUUGUUAGUAAAUAGUUUGAUGGUCAAGCUAAUAUUUACCUAUCGGCUGUUAAUGAUUGUUAGUCAUAUGGUCUUCCUCCAAUUUGGUUUGUCAACUUUUAAUUAAUUCUA